rnacentral:rRNA from 1 species
UGGUGUAAGCCCGUAGGGAGGGACAUAGGCAAAUCCGUGUCCCACAUAUCCUGAGAGGUGAUGCGUAGCCGUAGCGGCGAAAUCCAUGAUCCUAUGCUGCCGAGAAAAGCCUCUAGCGAGCUGGUACAUGGCCCGUACCCCAAACCGACACAGGUGGUCAGGUAGAGAAUACUAAGGCGAUCGAGAGAACUGUGGUUAAGGAACUCGGCAAAAUGCCCCCGUAACUUCGGGAGAAGGGGGACCAGUCCUGGUGACGACAUUUACUGUCUGAGCUGGGGUUGGUCGCAGAGACCAGAGAGAAGCGACUGUUUACUAAAAACACAGGUCCGUGCGAAGUCGUAAGACGAUGUAUACGGACUGACGCCUGCCCGGUGCUGGAAGGUUAAGAGGACCGGUCAGCCACUUCGGUGGCGAAGCUGAGAAUUUAAGCCCCAGUAAACGGCGGUGGUAACUAUAACCAUCCUAAGGUAGCGAAAUUCCUUGUCGGGUAAGUUCCGACCUGCACGAAUGGCGUAACGACUUCUCUGCUGUCUCAACCACAGACUCGGCGAAAUUGCAGUACGAGUAAAGAUGCUCGUUACGCGCGGCAGGACGAAAAGACCCCGGGACCUUCACUAUAGCUUGGUAUUGGUGUUCGGUUCGUUUUGUGUAGGAUAGGUGGGAGACUGUGAAACUCGCACGCCAGUGUGGGUGGAGUCAUUGUUGAAAUACCACUCUGACCGUAUUGGACAUCUAACCUCGGACCAUGAUCUGGUUCAGGGACAGUGCCUGGUGGGUAGUUUAACUGGGGCGGUUGCCUCCCAAAAAGUAACGGAGGCGCCCAAAGGUUCCCUCAGCCUGGUUGGCAAUCAGGUGUUGAGUGUAAGUGCACAAGGGAGCUUGACUGUGAGACGUACAUGUCGAGCAGGGACGAAAGUCGGGACUAGUGAUCCGGCACCGGCAAGUGGAAGCGGUGUCGCUCAACGGAUAAAAGGUACCCCGGGGAUAACAGGCUGAUCUUCUCCAAGAGUCCAUAUCGACGGGAUGGUUUGGCACCUCGAUGUCGGCUCGUCGCAUCCUGGGGCUGGAGUAGGUCCCAAGGGUUGGGCUGUUCGCCCAUUAAAGCGGCACGCGAGCUGGGUUUAGAACGUCGUGAGACAGUUCGGUCUCUAUCCGCCGCGCGCGUAAGAAACUUGAGGAAACCUGUCCCUAGUACGAGAGGACCGGGACGGACGAACCUCUGGUGUGCCAGUUGUUCCACCAGGAGCACCGCUGGUUAGCUACGUUCGGAAGGGAUAACCGCUGAAAGCAUCUAAGCGGGAAGCCUGUUCCAAGAUGAGGUUUCUCACCACCUAGCGUGGUUAAGGCCCCCCACAGACCAU